UCCACUAUCUCCGAUGCUCUUCUUGGCAGGACAGCUAGCUUCUCAUUGGCCAGAAGACUUCGUCAAGAGGACCUCAGGAGGCUGGUGUUUACUGAAGAAGUGGGGGUGUCCCCUGGAAUAGCAGCUGGAGUCGUAUGGUUUCAUGUGACUUGUGUCCAAGAGUGGCCGGUGUGAUUUGCUUUAAGUUACAGAAGUAAAAAAGGAAAUAUGAGGGAGAUGGGCUUUUCUGAAAUCCCUAAGAAUCCAAACAGCAACUCGGGGGAGACCUGGUAGCAUGGAGGGCCCUCCUUCUGUGUCUAAACUCCAGGGCUUCUUUGUUGUUCUUCCAAUGGUAACAUCUUUAGAAUGUCAUAGUUUCCCAAAGCUAACAUGCCUGGGUUUAUGCCCAAAAGUACCCCUUUCCAUCUUUUUUAAGGGCAGGGGAGAUUUUUUUUUGGGUUUCCUUUCCUUUUUUUUUUUUUUUUUAAUGUGUUCAUCCUUGGUAGCAGAGGUCUCUCCAGUUCACAGCAAGAACUGAUGGGGAGGGACAGGGACAGGUCCCUCUCUGGCUUGAGAGUGAGGUGUGCUUGUAACCAAAGAGACUCCCAUGAAGGGCCACAUCUGCAUAAACUCCAUCACAACUCGACCCCCCAACCAAAGACGUGUCUCAUGGUUCCUGUGUCCCAGGACACCUGAGCAUCACUGAAUAUUUGGUAUACAUUACCUUCUUGGAACAAGUAACCUAUGUAUAGACCAAGCAAGCAGGACCUUUCCCAAACGUCUCCCUUUAGAAUGGGGAACUAGGUGGCUCAAAAGAAAAGAGCUAUAUACCCAAAGCGGUAGCUACUCUAAAGGACACCUGCUUUUCCUGGAUCAGAAGGGCUGGGGAUGGUGCGGUGGCUGUGGCUGUGUUUGCUGGGACCCUUGGCCACUGAAGCUCUCUGGCAGAUGUCCGUGUGGGAAGGUUACAGGGCAGCUAAGAUCCAGAGUACUGGCUGGCAAGGUGUGUGAGCAUUUCUCUGGGUGAACAUUGACCUCAGGAAUCAGAGUCCAUAGAGAACGCAGGCGCUUCUCAAGCUUCACCGUCUCUUACGGACUGUGAUUGGGCACUGAGGCUCUCCACUCUUCCACUUUGCUGUUCUCUGACUUUUCUCGCAGCCCUUCCUCCUCUUCAGCUCAUGCCCUGUGUGUACCAGUUCCCGUCCUGUCCCCUCACCACUCUCUUGCCCUCCAAUCCAGGUGGGGCUGUCUCUGUCCUCUCCCAGCCCAUUAAGGCCACCUCUGUCUACACUGGACUUUCUCUGUGCUUCUGCUUCUUGUGGCAACAAAUUGUGUCUUAGAUUUUAACUCCCCCCCCAACAUUUGAGGAGGAAAAAUAUACAUUUUUCUUUUGCAGAGAGCAUGAAAAAUGGAGAAAAUAAACCCAUUAUUCUAUUGAAGGAGAGAGACAGUCAUUCUACAAACCUUGAUGGAACAUCUGUUCAUCCUUCCCCCCCCCGGCAUCUUAUCACAGCUACAGAAACAAACAAAACUAGUGCCUAGUGCCAACUGAUAAGUCUAUGACAGCUCAGGAUCCUCGUGGAAGAGGGGCCAGGGAGACUGUGAGAGCCAGGAGGCCAGGGAGUUUGCCUUGAGACCGUGUCACCUACAAAUGUUAGACAAGCUACACCCAUGGAGUCUCAUCAACAUGGCUGCCUAGACAAGACCCAAACAAGGACAACACCGACAGCUAUGAUGGCCUCAGCACUACACAAAGGACUACAGACAGCCAAGUGAAUUUCAAAGCAAGUUAGUGUGUGGCCCCAUUCUUUCAACACUUUUUGAGUAGUUGGGUUGAACAUGAAAAUCUCACACAGCUUUAGAGGAUUUCCAAGUCCUUUUUCCUUUACUUCUCAAAUUAAGAACGGGGCUGAGAAGUUUCAACUGCCACUUUGGAGCACCAGAUGCCUAGGACGACCUGGAGUGUUCUACUCUUCUGUGCCCAACUUAGUGGCUGGAAACAGGAAGACGCCAGGGCAGCCCUUAGUGGGGAGGCCAUGAUGCAGGAAGAGGACACGACAAGAGGACUGCAAAUCGUCUCCCUGCCUCAAAAUCUUCCCUUGAAAAAGGCAUCACUGGGAAUCUUGGAACAUGUUCCUGCAGAUAUGGGGAACCUACCACACCAGCACAGAAGGGGCUAUAAAUUCUCUGUGUACCAGCCUUGUCUAAAAGUGUUGCAAGCAGACAUGAAUGGCUAUCAGAGUGCACUCACAUUUAUGCACCAUCUCCCAAUGAUGCUCCCAGUGUCCCGACCAGUAAGGAGUUCAAGCUAAACCCAGAGAAGAAAAGCCAUUCCGGAGGCCAGAGGCAUGAGAUGAUCUUCUCGGGACAAUAUCCAAAUGUGAGCCACGCUGUAUCCCUUCAAGAGACACAUUUUUAGAGGCUACCUGCAUCUUUGGUUCCUGGCCCUUUCAUUCCUCUUCAGAGCCAGUACUUCAGAUUUGUCUUUGAUUUCUGACUAGCCCUGUUUAGCCUUCCCUGCCUUCAGAGACUCUCAUAAUGAAUGACAACGUGCUUAACCCGGUCCAUCCAGAUAACCGCCUGUUCUCAAGGCUAACAGACAGGCAACUGAAAUUCUACCAACAACUUCAGUUCUCCCUUGAUGAUAACAUAAUCACAGGAUCUGAGGGGAGAGACAUGGAAGCAUUCUUUGACCACGAGUGAGGCUCCCAAUAGUCAUUGUAGUGUCAGCAUCCUUGUUCAAUACCUAUACUUGAGGAAACUUGAUCUCAGACAGUUUAUGUGAAUUCCAACUGUUGGCUCCACAGGAGAGGAAAAUUCCCCUGAGCCCUAGGCCAUUUGUCACUGGAACAAAAAAUACAAUUCUAUUGCAGGCUUGAGGCCCCUUCCCUCCAGUUCACUUUGUUGCACCUGGGCCUCACAUUUGUCCAGUAUUAAGGGAUGGUAACACUCACUCCAUGGACUCAGAAUGGACUUGACCCAGCCAUAAGUAUUUUAUUGUUUGAACAUGAACACAGACUUUUAGAACUGUAAAUGCCCACUUGGGGACACUGAGCUUUAGUGACCAAGGUCUCCAGAAGUCAAAAAUCCUGGAAGAUCCUCCUAGGAACUCUACCAAGAGGGUCUGCCGAGGGAGCACCCACAGCCACCUUUUCUGCCUUAGUGGCUGCUGUAGACGUUACUGUGUGAUCACCCUGUUGGAUGAGGUUGGCACCUAGAAUUAAAGGAAACUUUAGCCACUGGGCAUUCAGAGUGAUGGAGCUGGUGACUCUGGUAUACAGUUCAGUAGUCAAUACAAGAAGUCUUCAGUCACGGUCAGUGCCGGAAGGGAAGACACUGGAAGACUUACUGCAUGAUGUUUUCUCUUGGAAAGAGCGAACCAUGACCUGGGAGAGCAAUCUCCAGAGGUGGUGUCUGGAUCGCAUUUAGAAGGCUGCUAGCCUCCACGUCAGCUUCUCUGUCAGCUGCCCAGCAGCUCACCCACCCUCUGCACCUAAAGAUGGAAUCUGGCCAAGGAUAGGCUCCAAGGCUGGCCUUUUUGCUAGGGAAGUACAUUCUUCAGAACUCUGAGGUGAAUCCAGUCUGUGAAGAAAGACGAGGCACCCAGGAGGGAUGUCCGAGGCCACUGAGAAAGGCUCUUCCUGAUUCCUGGAGGAGCAUCAUGAAGGGGCAACGCACAUUGUGAAACUUUGGCAUAGUACUACAGAGUUUCCUUUCAUCCCUACAACCAAUAGGUGAAAAGGGGAAUCUAGGACCCCCCCCUCCAACCUGCUGCCCUGGAAGAUGAAGCAAGGCACUGGUAUCCAGUUGCAGCUAGGACACAGCAGCUGUCCUGUGAGAAGGCGCCAAUUUCAAAGCACAGCAGCGGCUUCCCUGAGGCUCCGCUCCCUGCUUCUCCACCCAUAUGUGUCUUCAAGGAGGCUUUGAAAGGAUAUCUUCUAAGAUGUAUGGGAUUGGAUGAUUGAGAAAACUUGGCAAAAAUAGAGACAGAAGCAAGAGAUAAGAGCACCGCCUGGAGCAGGCUGGUCCGCACUGAGCAUGGAUGAUUAUGGGAAGAUGUUAGAAGAACAAGGGAAUGCACCUUCCAGGGUCGCUGACUUGUCCCUUGCAUGGGUCCCUGGCCUCUCCCCUUCCCGGCGGGAUGGGCUCAGCAAGUUAUUUGUGGUUAUUUCCAUGACCAGAAACAUGACGGGAAAGGAGCCACAGGAGAGAGAGUACACAGUGUCUUUCCCACUGUUACCCUGGUUUUCUCCGGAGCUGGGAAAGUGACAUUGAAAGAAUGUAAGAAUGGAGGACAAAGGACAAACUGUACUGAAGCAUAUGUAUGAAAACGUCACAAUGAAACCCACUGCUGUGUGUUUUUACCCCAGAUUAAGAGAAAUGUAGUGAUGAAGUAAAUCAAGCUGAAAUGAA